rnacentral:rRNA from 1 species
AGAGUUUGAUCCUGGCUCAGGACGAACGCUGGCGGCGCGCCUAACACAUGCAAGUCGAACGAGCGAGAGAAAGCUUGCUUUCUCGAGCGAGUGGCGAACGGGGGAGUAACGCGUGAGGAACCUGCCUCAAAGAGGGGGACAACAGUUGGAAACGACUGCUAAUACCGCAUAAGCCCACAGGUCGGCAUCGACCAGAGGGAAAAGGAGCAAUCCGCUUUGAGAUGGCCUCGCGUCCGAUUAGCUAGUUGGUGAGGUAAUGGCCCACCAAGGCAACGAUCGGUAGCCGGACUGAGAGGUUGAACGGCCACAUUGGGACUGAGACACGGCCCAGACUCCUACGGGAGGCAGCAGUGGGGAAUAUUGCACAAUGGGGGAAACCCUGAUGCAGCGACGCCGCGUGGAGGAAGAAGGUCUUCGGAUUGUAAACUCCUGUUGUUGAGGAAGAUAAUGACGGUACUCAACAAGGAAGUGACGGCUAACUACGUGCCAGCAGCCGCGGUAAAACGUAGGUCACAAGCGUUGUCCGGAAUUACUGGGUGUAAAGGGAGCGCAGGCGGGAAGACAAGUUGGAAGUGAAAUCUAUGGGCUCAACCCAUAAACUGCUUUCAAAACUGUUUUUCUUGAGUAGUGCAGAGGUAGGCGGAAUUCCCGGUGUAGCGGUGGAAUGCGUAGAUAUCGGGAGGAACACCAGUGGCGAAGGCGGCCUACUGGGCACCAACUGACGCUGAGGCUCGAAAGUGUGGGUAGCAAACAGGAUUAGAUACCCUGGUAGUCCACACUGUAAACG